AUUCAACUCCGUCGACUGGUUCUAUUAUCUUUGCGAAAAUAUAUCAUAUUACCGCAUUCCGAAGUCAGAAAAAAAAAAUGACUUCAUUUGCGCUCUGACUCUCAAUGCCGCUGCAUUUGAAGGGAAAAAAAAUUCUCUCUUUCCUCUCCUGUUUUUUUUUUCAUUUGAAAAUUUACGAAAAUCUUAUUUCGUGGCGUAUUAAAAGUAAAAAUUUUCGAACUGUGUUUCAUCCCAAGUGCAAAAAAAAAUUUCGUGUCUCCUACAAGUGUAACAUUAAAUAUAAACGUAAAACUUCAGCUGUGAAAACAAAAUUCUGGUGUACACAAGUGUAUUAUCAAGUGUGAGAAAACGGAAUUACUUCCUUGCUCUGUAUAAGCACUAUGUUUCGACAGGGCGUAACGUUGAACGAGUUUUGCCGACAUCGCGCGUCCAUAUAUAUUAUCCUCCGGAUCGUGGCAUAUCUACGGAUGCUGAUGGACCCACAACCCCCGAAUCGUGGCGUGUGGCUAUGCGACCAGAUCGACACAUUAGUCCAGCCGCGUCUUCCUCCUCAUGAGCGUUUUGAGCCAGAGGGCUCAUUGGUUCGAACUCGGGCGUUUUUUUAUGCCCGCACUUUAAGUGCCCCGUUGCGGUCAUUUCAGUCUCCGGAUAUGCACGUCUUUUGGCAGUUAUGGCCCGAGCUUGAAAAGAUCGCUAUCGGUAAAAUUAUCGCCGAACAACUUUCGUCGGAAACGCCGCCCGCCCUUCCAGACGCAGCUGCAUAGGAAUUAAUAAACAUCUAUUUUUGUGCACUACACUGUUAAAAAGAAAUAAUAAAUUUCCAAUAUGUUUACCAACCAUAUGUUAUGGAAAUUUACAAAUUAGCGUAUUGUAAAACUAAACAGUGAACAAUAUUCGUAAAAUUACAAUGUCUCACUGUAAAAAUGACAUUCAAAUUGUACAAUCACAAAAAAAUUGUUAUUUUACAUUAUUUUCGUAUGAAUCAGAUACGUAUAGUAAUUUUACAAUAGUAUAGUUAAAAUUUUAACACCAAUAUGGUAAAUUUAUUAUAAAUUCGUGUAAUUAAACUUACCAUAAUUGUUGGUAAAUUUUGGGCAAAAAUUUGAUUUCUA